UCCACCUCAUCUGAUGUAAGGUACUUGUAGAACACAAAUGUCAGACUCUGGGUUUCUUUAAAUACGCUAACAGCACAGUGAUAGUUCAUCUGUUUCUGUCCUAGAGACCAGAGCUGACUCUGUUGAAUUUUAAGGAUGAAUACUUUGUUAAUUACCCUCACCGUCGUCGUCACAGCCUCGGCCGGUGUUAUUAACCUCGGCGACCUUCCUAUGCAAAAUCCUGACCUUUUUGGAGGUGAUAUUAUGGGAGUCAAAAAUGCAAAAG